UGAGGAAUAUUGGUCAAUGGGGGCAACCCUGAACCAGCCAAGUCGCGUGAAGGAUGAAGGUCUUAUGGAUUGUAAACUUCUUUUACACGGGAAUAAAGUGGGGGACGUGUCCCCCUUUGCAUGUACCGUGUGAAUAAGGAUCGGCUAACUCCGUGCCAGCAGCCGCGGUAAUACGGAGGAUCCGAGCGUUAUCCGGAUUUAUUGGGUUUAAAGGGUGCGCAGGCGGGAUGUUAAGUCGGCGGUGAAAUUUUGCAGCUCAACUGUAAAAGUGCCUUCGAUACUGGCCUCCUUGAGUGUGGAUGAAGUAGGCGGAAUUUGGGGUGUAGCGGUGAAAUGCUUAGAUAUCACGAGGAACUCCGAUUGCGCAGGCAGCUUACUAAGCCACAACUGACGCUCAUGCACGAAGGCGUGGGGAUCAAACA
rnacentral:rRNA from 1 species